GCUGAUGUAGCUCAGCUGGUAGAGCAGCUGAUUUGUAAUCAGCAGGUCGGGGGUUCGAGUCCCUUCAUCAGCUCCA
rnacentral:tRNA from 2 species